rnacentral:rRNA from 1 species
CAGGUGGAGCCUGCGGUUUAAUCGGACUCAACGCCGGGAAACUCACCAGAUAAGACAGCUGAAUGAUAGUCGGGCUGAAGACUCACUUGACUAGCUGAGAGGAGGUGCAUGGCCGUCGUCAGUUCGUACUGUGAAGCAUCCUGUUAAGUCAGGCAACGAGCGAGACCCACGCCAACAGUUGCCAGCUCGUCCUCCGGGAUGGAGGGGACACUGUUGGGACCGCCUCUGCUAAAGAGGAGGAAGGAAUGGGCAACGGUAGGUCAGCAUGCCCCGAAUUAUCUGGGCUACACGCGGGCUACAAUGGGUGGGACAAUGGGUAUCGACACCGAAAGGUGAAGGCAAUCUCCUAAACCCAUCCUUAGUUCGGAUUGAGGGCUGCAACUCGCCCUCAUGAAGCUGGAAUCCGUAGUAAUCGCGUUUCAACAGAACGCGGUGAAUACGUCCCUGCUCCUU